AUGAACGCUGGCGGCGUGCCUAAUACAUGCAAGUCGAGCGAACAGACGAGGAGCUUGCUCCUCUGACGUUAGCGGCGGACGGGUGAGUAACACGUGGAUAACCUACCUAUAAGACUGGGAUAACUUCGGGAAACCGGAGCUAAUACCGGAUAAUAUAUUGAACCGCAUGGUUCAAUAGUGAAAGACGGUUUUGCUGUCACUUAUAGAUGGAUCCGCGCCGCAUUAGCUAGUUGGUAAGGUAACGGCUUACCAAGGCAACGAUGCGUAGCCGACCUGAGAGGGACAGCGGCAACACGGAAUGAGAGACAGGGCACGGACCGAAGGGGGGGGAGGGAGAGGGGAUUUGUCGACAAGGGGGAAGCGCCUGGGGAACCACCGCGGUGGGAGUAGAAAAGGUCUUCAUAUAAUAAACCUUUUUUUGAGGGAAAAAAAAAAGGGAAAAAAACAUAGGCACGUCGGGACGGAACUAAAUAAGAAGCCCAGGCCAAACUAGG
rnacentral:rRNA from 1 species